CAGAAUAGCACGAGAAGUUGCUUUCGUUCAGAUGCAGCACAGAGAGCAUCUCCUUUGGCCAGGUCCCUGCAGGCCUCUGCUGCUCGUGGGAUUUGCCGACUCCUCAGACUGCCUGUGAUCUAAAUGUCUGUGUCUUGCAGGUGCGCUGCCAAUCCAGUGGAUGGUGACUCCGCUUUUCUACCUGAGAGGGGAUCGAAAUGUAAGUGCCGCAGACCAUUCUGUGUCGAUUCUCCCGGAGAUCUGUACAGACCAUUCCCCCCUUUUCAUGCCUUCUGCUCUAGACUCCAGGUCUGACCGGCUCCCGUGCUGCUGAUUUGUUUUUUAAGGCUUCUGACUGGCAGUAACAGGGCGGCCAUGGAAAAUGGCCUAACUGAGGGCUGAUCAGAGCUCAGUUGCAGUCCUAUAAUUAACAACAGGUAAUUACAGGAAAGCCGCACGUUUCGCUAAUACCUUUUACAGAUGAAUCUUUGUGUCUCCCCUUGCCUUAUAAAUGUACACAGUUUUUGCCGAUUAGGAAUUGUUUGUGGAAUGUGGCUUUUGCACAGACACAAUUUGAUAGCUUCUGCUUGGUAAAUUAAUGCUGUUAGCAAAAGCAAGGUUAUACAGGAACUCAGCUCAGCUAUUUGAAUAGACUUCAUUGGUCCAUCUACAGAGAAGUGUAUGUCUGCGGGGAUUAAAACUAGAGCUCAUUGGGUGUUACUGGUUAAAAGCAAAAGGAAAAAUUAAGUCCUGGAGAAAGAGAAAUUAGAAAACUAUUCCCAAAGAAUUUGAGUCCAAAGCCUGCAUUUGUAGGCCUUGCUGUUGUCUGUUUUCCUAAAUUUUGUUUAGUUUAAUUCAUCUUCAUAAAGUGAGGGACAGAGGAGUCCUGUGAACUAAGUAGAGGUUAAUGAACUGUCUUUUUUUUUUCUUCUUUUUCUUUCACAAACCCAGGGCCUUGUGCAUGCUGGCCACCUGCAUUAACACUGAAUGACAACCCAACCCUUAUGAACUCAUUUCUCAAAAGAUACUAACGAUUAUCUUUCAGUUAUGUAAUACCGUAUUUGGUAUAAAUCUUUGGGAUCUUGUUUGUUUUGUUUUGUUUGUGGAGAUAUGUUCUCACUGUGUAGUUCAGGCUGCCCUCAAACUCACGAUCCUCCUGCCUCAGCCUCUUGAGUGCUGGGGUUACAGGCGUGCACUGCCUCACCUGGCCUCAAUAUUCAGGUUUAAUAGAUUGCUUUCUUACCAGUUUCUAACCUUGUAUGGUGAGAACCUUUAAAGACAAGUGGAACACAUUUAAGUACAUAUCCUUCUCUACAUCCAAUCACUAGAAUUAAAAAUGUCGGUCUCCUCACCAGGGUCCUGGUGAAGCCUUGCAGCCAUUUAACAAGAUCGUCAAAUAAGCUCUGGAAAAGCGGAAUUUAUGGCCGCUUCCCAGGCUGGAGUACCCAACGCCUGGGGUUGGGUUUCUUGUCCUGCCUCGGCAAGGUUCGCUCUGCUGUUAUUUCCUCAAAACGGCUGUGAUUUCAGAAGCCAGAGUUGGGAAUUCCUCUGGCUGUGACACGAAUUCAGAGUCCUGUCCACCUAAGAAGCACGUCAGUGCGAACAAUUUACCUUCCAACAGUGUUGUAAAUAAGAACCAGGUUGAUGUAUGUAAUGGAUGAAGGAUAAUAAUACUCAUUCUAAAAAUUGGUGGGGUUUUUUUUCACUUUAAUAAAAAACACUUUGGGGUAAAGAAAAAUUGCAGCAUGUCUACUAAUUCAAUUAUCAGUGAAGAACUAGCUCAGUGUAACUGACUUUUAUUAAGUUUAGCUUUACAUUCAGUAAAAAGUUUAUUUCCAGGCUAAGUUGCUUGCCAUGAGAAAAUCAAC
ensembl:lincRNA